rnacentral:rRNA from 1 species
UGACCGCUGGCGGCGUGCCUAAUACAUGCAAGUCGAGCGAACGGACGAGAAGCUUGCUUCUCUGAUGUUAGCGGCGGACGGGUGAGUAACACGUGGAUAACCUACCUAUAAGACUGGGAUAACUUCGGGAAACCGGAGCUAAUACCGGAUGAUAUUUUGAACCGCAUGGUUCAAAAGUGAAAGACGGUCUUGCUGUCACUUAUAGAUGGAUCCGCGCUGCAUUAGCUAGUUGGUAAGGUAACGGCUUACCAAGGCAACGAUGCAUAGCCGACCUGAGAGGGUGAUCGGCCACACUGGAACUGAGACACGGUCCAGACUCCUACGGGAGGCAGCAGUAGGGAAUCUUCCGCAAUGGGCGAAAGCCUGACGGAGCAACGCCGCGUGAGUGAUGAAGGUCUUCGGAUCGUAAAACUCUGUUAUUAGGGAAGAACAUAUGUGUAAGUAACUGUGCACAUCUUGACGGUACCUAAUCAGAAAGCCACGGCUAACUACGUG